CUUUGACAAGUGGUUCAAAGGAAUUGGCCAUGUCAUACCUGUGCCCGGAGGACUGCCCAGACAUUGAACAUCAACAGACUAUUGGUCUGCUACAGAAAGAAGAUAUGACAGAGGAAGAAAUGUCAAGGGUGUCCAACCUGUGUCUGGAAUGGUACUUCCCAGGGCCGACAAAAAGAUACCAACAAACUACUACUUCUACAGCAGCUUCUCACAUAUGCUGUAAUUACCUUCUUCUUAGCUUUAUUAUAGUUUAUUUUAUGCUGUGUCUAUAAUACUUCAUGAGAACAAUGAUAUUAACGCUACUACAAUUUGCAGGUUCUUCAUAGGCUAAAUGUCAAAGUGAAGCACCUGAGAAAGGGCCUGAAAGAAACAGGUCUCUGGCCACUUAUAUCCUGCAGACCAGAUGUGGUGCCCAUCCUUUUCCCCAGGGAGCAUGACAUUGAAAUCAGCCCCCAGGUCAUCCUGCAGUCAAUCAAAUGGCCCCAGGCAAUUUCUGACAGCGAGGACAGUGAUGCCAUGGCAUCGGAAACCUUCCUUGUCACAGGG